rnacentral:rRNA from 1 species
GUGAGGAAUAUUGCACAAUGGAGGAAACUCUGAUGCAGCAACGCCGCGUGGAGGAUGACGCAUUUCGGUGUGUAAACUCCUUUUAAGAGGGAAGAUUAUGACGGUACCUCUUGAAUAAGCACCGGCUAACUCCGUGCCAGCAGCCGCGGUAAUACGGAGGGUGCAAGCGUUACUCGGAAUCACUGGGCGUAAAGGGUGCGUAGGCUGACUUUUAAGUCAGGCGUGAAAUCCAAUGGCUUAACCAUUGAACUGCGCUUGAAACUGGGAGUCUAGAGUUCAGAAGGGGCAGAUGGAAUUAGUGGUGUAGGGGUAAAAUCCGUAGAUAUCACUAGGAAUAUCAAAAGCGAAGGCGAUCUGCUGGGAUGAUACUGACGCUGAGGCACGAAAGCGUGGGGAGCAAACAGGAUUAGAUAUCCCUGUAGUCC